GCUCGGGUGGUGGAAUGGCAGACACACCAGAUUUAGGUUCUGGCGCCGUAAGGUAUGCGGGUUCGACUCCCGCCCCGAGCACCC
rnacentral:tRNA from 1 species